CCUAACUCGACUGCAAAUCUGCCAUGGGCUGGCGGGCCUGUCUCCGUCCGGAGGCGUCCGGCGCUGUACAGGGCCGCUGGUUGGGGGCUGUCCUGAGCGGGUUGUGUCUUCUCUCCGCGCUGGCGUUCCUGGAAUGGCUAGGGUCGCCGACAGAGACCGCCUGGAAUGCAGCUCAGGGAAAUGUGGAUGCGCCAGAUGUGGGCGGCUCCACUCCCCAGGUACCCAGCCUAUUGUCCAUGCUGGUAACCCGAAGACGCCGCUACACGCUGACACCGGCCAGGCUGCGUUGGGACCACUUCAACCUCACGUACAGGAUUCUCUCCUUUCCCCGGAACCUUUUAAGCCCGGAAGAGACUCGGCGGGGCCUGGCGGCUGCCUUUCGAAUGUGGAGUGAUGUUUCCCCAUUCAGCUUCCGUGAGGUGGGCCCUGCACCACUGCUUCGAUGGUCCUACAGGUGAACUGGCCCACGCUUUCUUCCCACCCCACGGUGGCAUUCAUUUUGAUGACAGCGAGUACUGGGUCUUGGGUCCCACGCGCUACAGCUGGAAGAAAGGUGACCCAAGUCCUUGAUCUGGUCUCCUGCUGGGGGUGUCAUCCUCUCCUCCGUAGAGGGCUACAAAGGGGUUUGAGGCAGGAAGGGUUUCCUGGGGCUGAGUAUUUGGGUGGCUGCUUUUAGGGUCAA
rnacentral:lncRNA from 1 species